UUCUAUUUAGCUUUCUAGUGGGGG
rnacentral:piRNA from 1 species